rnacentral:rRNA from 1 species
CUCAGGAUGAACGCUGGCGGCGUGCUUAACACAUGCAAGUCGAACGGAGUUAGAUGAAAGCUUGCUUUGACUAAACUUAGUGGCGGACGGGUGAGUAACGCGUGGGUAACCUGCCUUAUACAGGGGGAUAACAGUCGGAAACGACUGCUAAUACCGCAUAAGCGCACGGAAUCGCAUGAUUCAGUGUGAAAAGAUUUAUCGGUAUAAGAUGGACCCGCGUCUGAUUAGCUAGUUGGUGAGGUAACGGCCCACCAAGGCGACGAUCAGUAGCCGGCCUGAGAGGGUGAACGGCCACAUUGGGACUGAGACACGGCCCAAACUCCUACGGGAGGCAGCAGUGGGGAAUAUUGCACAAUGGGGGAAACCCUGAUGCAGCGACGCCGCGUGAGUGAAGAAGUAUUUCGGUAUGUAAAGCUCUAUCAGCAGGGAAGAAAAUGACGGUACCUGACUAAGAAGCCCCGGCUAACUACGUGCCAGCCGCUGC